rnacentral:snoRNA from 14 species
CCUGACUCCUAGAGGCAUUGCCAAUGUUGUUUCUGUGUCACAAGUGUGUUAGUAGGUGGCAGAGAAGAAAGGCUAUGUCUAUGGUCAAUGGUUUGUCCUAUGAACAUCUGGAUUCCCUGAGAGCAGCCAACCUGA